GACUGCUGGGUUUGCUCACAUGAUGUCCCCAUCUGCUGAAGUGUCACACCAGGCUGACUGGCCCUUGCCCAGUGGCCCAGGCCGGGACACAGCCUGUCCGUCACAGAUCACACCUGGAGCGGCGUUCUCCAUCACCCGACACUCUCGGAGCCAAGCCCCAGGCCUACGGGAGCCAGGGCAGCUGUGAUCACCCCUACACACCCAUUUAGCAGCUGAGCUCCUGAGGCGAGAGGAGAGGAAGGGCAAGGGGGCCACAGUGAUGCUGUGACCAAGAGAUCUGCCUUCUAAACAAGGGGGCCAGGAAAAGCUUCCCCAUGCCACGUGGAGGAAGAAUGAAUGGAACGUCUCGGGCAGCCUAGGAGCCAGGGCUGCUGCAGGUGAACUGCACUCCUCACCUACCUGCUUGAAAUCAAGCUGCAGAAAGGAAGGGCCACAAAGCCACCCCGUGGGGUGCAGGGAGGCCAUAAGAGACGGGAUCCUGCUCUGUCACCCAGGCUGGAGUGCAGUGAUGCAAUCAGAGCUCCCUGCAGCCUCAAACGCCUGGGCUCACAUGAUC
ensembl:lncRNA novel transcript, antisense to GPR56